rnacentral:sRNA from 1 species
GAGAGAGCAACUGGAAAAGUGAGCUUACGUAUGUAUAAACUCUAUUGCACUGAGGCGUUUGGGUGGUGGGGCAUUACAAUAGUAUUGGUCCUGUCUUUGUUAUGGCAAGUGUCUUUGAUGGCAAGUGAUUAUUGGUUGGCAUAUGAAACCUCAGAAGAACGUGCUAAAUUGUUUAACCCUUCUCUGUUCAUCUACGUCUAUGCAAUUAUUGCUGUUGUUUCCAGUGUUUUGUUAGUGGCAAGAUCCUACUUCUUUACUCUCAUGGGGCUAAGGACAGCACAAUUAUUCUUCACACAAAUUCUUCAUAGCAUCUUGCAUGCGCCCAUGUCUUUCUUUGACACCACACCAUCUGGAAGAAUUCUAAGUAGGGCAUCCACUGAUCAAGCCAAUCUUGAUGUCCUUCUACCCUUAUAUAUGGGAGCUAUUAUAAUCAUGCACUUAUCGAUGCUCGGCAUCUUCAUCAUAACCUGUCAAAAUUCUUGGCCAACGCUGAUUUUGAUAAUUCCUCUUGUCUGGUUAAAUAUGUGGUACCGGGGUUACUAUCUUGCAUCAUCUCGGGAAUUUACUCGCAUGGAUUCAAUUACCAAAGCCCCAGUUAUUCAUCACUUCUCUGAAAGCAUUGCAGGGGUCAUGACAAUCCGUUCAUUCAGAAAGCAAAAGAUAUUCUGUGAUGAAAAUCUGAAACGGGUGAAUGGUAAUUUGAGAAUAGAUUUCCACAACUAUAGUUGUAAUGAGUGGUUGGGAUUUCGCUUAGAAUUGAUUGGAAGCUUUGUCUUUUGCAUUUCUGCCAUGUUCAUGAUCAUCUUACCCAGCAAUAUCAUAAAGCCAGAAAAUGUCGGUUUAUCUCUCUCUUAUGGGUUGUCCUUAAACACUGUCUUGUUCUGGG